AACAAAACUGAGCAUGCCUCCCUGACCUAUACUAGGCCUCUGCUGUGGAGGUGAUGGACAGUCGAGGUGUCUGAGUGAUU